rnacentral:rRNA from 1 species
CCUACGGGAGGCAGCAGUGGGGAAUAUUGGACAAUGGGGGCAACCCUGAUCCAGCCAUGCCGCGUGUGUGAAGAAGGCCUUCGGGUUGUAAAGCACUUUAAGUUGGGAGGCGUUACCAACAGAAUAAGCACCGGCUAACUCCGUGCCAGCAGCCGCGGUAAUACGGAGGGUGCAAGCGUUAAUCGGAAUUACUGGGCGUAAAGCGCGCGUAGGCGGCCAUUUAAGCUAGAUGUGAAAGCCCAGGGCUUAACCUUGGAACUGCAUUUAGAACUGGGUGGCUAGAGUAUGGAAGAGGAGUGUGGAAUUUCAGGUGUAGCGGUGAAAUGCGUAGAGAUCUGAAGGAACAUCAGUGGCGAAGGCGACACUCUGGUCCAAACUGACGCUGAGGUGCGAAAGCGUGGGGAUCAAACAGGAUUAGAUACCCUUGUAGUC